GUGAGGAAUAUUGCGCAAUGGGGGAAACCCUGACGCAGCCACGCCGCGUGGAGGAUGACACUGCUCUGCAGCGUAAACUCCUUUUAUAUGGGAAGAAUGGCGCAGUUGCUGCGACGUGACGGUACCAUAUGAAUAAGCACCGGCUAACUCCGUGCCAGCAGCCGCGGUAAUACGGAGGGUGCAAGCGUUGUCCGGAAUCACUGGGUGUAAAGGGUGUGUAGGCGGAACGGUCAGUCGGAGGUGAAAGCCUGCAGCUUAACUGCAGAACUGCCCCCGAUACUGCCGAUCUUGAGUCCCGGAGGGGUGGCUGGAAUUCGUGGUGUAGCGGUGAAAUGCGUAGAUAUCACGAGGAACACCUAAGGCGUAGGCAGGUCACUGGACGGGUACUGACGCUGAGGCACGAAAGUGUGGGGAGCAAACAGGAUUAGAAACCCGAGUAGUCC
rnacentral:rRNA from 1 species